UCCCGGUUGAUCCUGCCGGACCUGACUGCUAUCGGAUUGGUACUAAGCCAUGCGAGUCGUUGUAGCAAUACAAGGCGGACGGCUCAGUAACACGUAGUCAACCUAACCUAUGGACGUGGAUAACCUCGGGAAACUGAGAAUAAACCGCGAUAGAUCAUUAUGCCUGGAAUGGCUUAUGGUUCAAACAAUUUAUUGCCGUAGGAUGGGACUGCGGCCUAUCAGCUUGUUGGUGAGGUAAUGGCCCACCAAGGCUAUAACAGGUACGGGCUCUGAGAGGAGAAGCCCGGAGAUGGGUACUGAGACACGGACCCAGGCCCUAUGGGGCGCAGCAGGCGAGAAACCUUAGCAAUGUGCGAAAGCACGACUAGGUUAAUCCGAGUGAUUUCUGUUGAAGAAAUCUUUUGUCAGUCGUAAAACCACAGACGAAUAAGGGGUGGGCAAGUCUGGUGUCAGCCGCCGCGGUAAUACCAGCUCCUCGAGUGGUCGGGGCGAUUAUUGGGCCUAAAGCAUCCGUAGCCGGUUCCGUAGGUCUCCUGCAAAAUCCAGUCGCUCAACGAUUGGCCCGCAGGAGAUACCGCGGGACUAGGAGGCGGGAGAGGUGGACGGUACUCCACGUGUAGGGGUAAAAUCCUUUGAUCCGUGGAAGACCACCAGUGGCGAAGGCGGUCCACCAGAACGCGCUCGACGGUGAGGGAUGAAAGCUGGGGGAGCGAACCGGAUUAGAUACCCGGGUAGUCCCAGCCGUAAACGAUGCGAGCUAGAUGAUCCAAUCGCAAAUCGCGAUUGGAGUGUCGCAGGGAAGCCGUUAAGCUCGCCGCCUGGGGAGUACGGUCGCAAGACUGAAACUUAAAGGAAUUGGCGGGGGGAGCA
rnacentral:rRNA from 1 species